CCUACGGGAGGCAGCAGUGGGGAAUUUUGGACAAUGGGCGCAAGCCUGAUCCAGCCAUUCCGCGUGAGUGAAGAAGGCCUUCGGGUUGUAAAGCUCUUUCGCAAGGGAAGAAAACUUACACAAUAACACUGUGUGAGGCUGACGGUACCUUGAUAAGAAGCACCGGCUAACUACGUGCCAGCAGCCGCGGUAAUACGUAGGGUGCGAGCGUUAAUCGGAAUUACUGGGCGUAAAGCGUGCGCAGGCGGUUUUGUAAGUCAGAUGUGAAAUCCCCGAGCUCAACUUGGGAACUGCGUUUGAAACUACAAGACUAGAAUAUGUCAGAGGGGGGUAGAAUUCCACGUGUAGCAGUGAAAUGCGUAGAGAUGUGGAGGAAUACCAAUGGCGAAGGCAGCCUCCUGGGAUAAUAUUGACGCUCAUGCACGAAAGCGUGGGGAGCAAACAGGAUUAGAUACCCUGGUAGUCCACGCCCUAAACGAUGUCUACUAGUUGUUGGUGGAGUAAAAUCCAUGAGUAACGCAGCUAACGCGUGAAGUAGACCGCCUGGGGAGUACGGUCGCAAGAUUAAAACGUUAAAGGAAUUGACGG
rnacentral:rRNA from 1 species